CAAAUGUUUUUUCAAUAGAUUUACUGCUUUGGCCUGUUUUCUUACACUGAAUACCUAAGGAUUUUGGACACUCUCAGGUGUGUUUAAUCCCUUCAUCCUUUCAACACCAGGUAUUUUAAACUGCUUUUCCCUGGGUAUCUUCUCUCUCCUUGGAAUUGUAUGCACUUGGUGGCUUCCAGAACUGGAUCCUUUACUACUGAUCCCAGGCACCACAUGAGACACAUGCUGACCGCAACGAAAUCCAAAGACCAAAGGGAGGUGAUUUAAAGCCACUCACUGAGAAAAGAGCUGCUUCCAGCCAGCCCAAGGAAAGGAUAAAUACAAGGAAAGGCUGGACUUUGACCUCUUUUGAGGCUAGGUGCCUGAGGGAAGCAUAUGAGGUGAUUCACAGCAGGGCAAGAUUCACUGAACCAGAAGGGAGGUCUUAAGGAAGCUGACUCCACUUUUCUUAGCUCUGUGGUUUUCAGCUGAGAGCAGGCAGGCAACUUCUGCUUUUGGAGAGCUGUUUUGCCCUAGGCAAUCACAGAAGAGUUGGAAUGACACAGAGACCAGAGAUAAGUGGGCAUCCUCACCCCAACAGGGCUGUGAUUUAUAAAGUGAGACACUGCCCAGGAGAGUGGGCUUUGUUGGGAGAAGAGGGAAAAAGGAGGGUCGCUUCUUACCCCUUGACACAGCAGAUUGAUUUGUCUGAAUGAAUGAGACUACAUAAUGCUGCCACUCUUUCUCUCAGCUACCUGUAACACAGGCCUUUAAACAUUAGAGAAGCCAUGAUCCUGCAGUGACUAGUAAGAUUCUGAAAAACACUUAGCCCAAGAGGAAUGAAGCACUGUCAGAGCACAAUGUUUAAUGUGUUCUGAUCAUUCUUUAAAUAUUUUUCUGUAGCCAAACAUACUAGCUCUUAACAUGAGCUACAAUGAUUACAGUAAAGCCAAGGAGAGAGCCUUGGAGUUUAACAAAACCAGCUUAAAAUACACAAAUUUGGUGAGUUUUUUGCAGUGGGUUUAGAAAUAGCUGUCAGAAUGUCCUUACAAUUUGUGCUGUGGUGCUGCACAGUGAAUUUGGUGCCACCAUCAAACUUUAAAUACUGACGCCUAGAUAUUUGAAGCAAUUUAGGUAGUCAGUCCUAUGAAUAUAGAGGAGGCUUGGGAUGAGAGCCAGCUGCCUACGAUCAGAUGGACAGAGACCUUCCAGGUGCCUGAUGGUACCCAAAUAAUCUGCACUUGGCAGGCAGACAUGAUGUGGUCCUGACAGGACCUGCAGGAAUCCCAUGCUCUGCUGGAGAGGCCUUUGAGGAGGAUACACUAUGGGACAUCCAGGGAACUCUGAACAUCCACGACAAGGCACUUAAACCACUUGGUCAGUUUUUGGAGCAGUGUUUGCUGUGCACACAGAGAUGCCCUGUGGGCUCUAUCUGCUCAGCCCUUGCUGAGGAGUUCCACACCCUGUGGGACAAGACCAUUGUGGGGCAAGACCAUUACAGUGGUAACGUGGAUACAGACAAUAUCCAUGUUGAAAUGAGCUGUUUUCCAAGGGAGGAAUAUGUUUUUUCUAUUCUGAUCUGUGACACCUAAGUGAAAAUUGAAUCCUAAAAUUGUAUUUUAUUAUGUGUUGGUAAAGCACAGCAAAGAUUUUCAAUGCUUUAUUAAAGGUUUUUAAUAUGCUUGAUUGCAUAUAUCCCAGCCAAAAUCUUCUCUAUCCUACAUAGGUAUUUAUCUCAGCCAGCAGAUUUUGUUUGCUCAGAUCCAAAUUAGAAAGUAUUUAAAGCAGAUAGCACAUCUCUAAAAAUAUACUGAAUUUACAAUGAAGCUUUAACAUUCUCUUGCUAAAUUUCACACAUCUGAUUUGAUUUCUGAAAAGAAAAGGUAAACACAGAAAUUUUCUUCACUAGUUCUCAUGGACUGCUUGCAACAAUACAAGAAGAAUAUUUCCUGUUUUACUACCAUGUAUUUGAAGUAGAGAACAAAUGCCCAUUCCCUUUACAGGCAAGAAAGUCAAGUUUCCAACUGCAGUUAAUGCCAUGUUUUGUUCUAUUUCUUGGUAAUGUAAGUUCUUAUGCAAAUUGAAUGUCUGCUGUUCAGACCCAGUUGAAUACAACAGGGGAGGCUGGAACCAAAUUGCUUCUGUCUGUCUUAACAGGACUUUUAAAUAAAAUCUACUUUACAUAGCUACAAAUCUUGCCAGGUUAAAUUCUCACUUUAGCCGUGUUCACAUUCUUGUUAAUUUAUUUUAACUGCAGCAGAGAAGGUUAGGGUAAUGGGAAGAGCUGAAAGUGGAAUGUUACAGUGAAACCUGCUGCCUGUAUUUAGAUAAUAUUCUUUCGAAGUGACAGACCA